UAGUAUAUGAGACUUUGAUUUGAUUUAGCAUGGUACUAAGGGAAGGGGACCAAUAUAAUGAUAACGUUUGUAAUGUACAUGUUCCCAUUAGAGAAAGUGGGUUGGCUAGAGCUAUAGUGUCACUUUCCCACUCUUGUAGAUUAUGAGUGGGUGAAGUGAAAUGAAGUGAAGAAAAGAAAAGUUUUUUUUUCUCUCUCUCUCCCCCCUUCAUUUUGUG
rnacentral:lncRNA from 1 species